UGAGAACGGUGGGGUUGGGGGAGGAGGAGAGAGAAAGGGUCCUCAGAGGCGGAAGCCUUCCUCCCCAAGCCAACGCCAGGUAUCAUGACAAGGGCCUUCAGAGGGGGUGUUCGCCAGCGCCAUCGAAGGAAAGGGGAAGAGGAAGAGGGGCAGGAGAUGGUGGAGGGAAGGACAGGCUAGGGAAGCUUCUGGCCCGGGCAUUCUCGUCUCCCCAUUAGUCUUUCCCAUCUGGACUGCUGCAGCCGCUGCUUUUGGUUUCGCGCCAUUAAAGCAACUCACUUCCGUCCCCCAGAAGGUAUACUCGUUGACCCCCACCCUCCUCCCUCGUUAAAACCCUAGGCUCUCUCCCGUCCACAAGGCGAC
rnacentral:lncRNA from 1 species